rnacentral:lncRNA from 1 species
GAUCUUUACUCACCACAGCUUCUUUUCUAAUGCCCCUCCCGCUGCACCCUAAACUCUCUUUGUAACCCCUCUGCUCCCAACCUCCGAGUUUGGUCAGAGGCAAAGACCAGCUCUCUCGCCGAUAUAUAUGAAUGGAGUUUCAUUGUUUUUGUGCUACCCCAGACCCUGCCCAGCGCAGCGCAGCGCAUGCUAUUCAGAAGGUGGUGAGUAACAACCCAGCAAGUGCCUGUGAAGGGUUCCAGCCUGCUGCAUCGCUCCUUUGCAACUGGGCACAUACAGCAGCACAGAGCUGAGCUUGAUAGCUCUAUAAAGGGAAAGCUUAUCAAUGCAAUUAAGAUAGAGACGCGUCGCCUCGUUAGCCCAUGCUGAGGGUGGCGGUCUAACACAUCCUGUUGUGGAGCGGCUGGUCUCCAUUGCCUGGUGGAAUAGUCACACGUUUAUACCUUCCGCAGCAGGCUAUGCCAUAGUUCUGAAUGGAGUGGCUGGUGGUAAGGUGUCUCUCCACCUGCACGGAAGCAGUGCUGAGUAGAGCUGGUCAGGACUUUUUCAAUUCAGAGCAUGGAUAUGAAUCUGAAUCUCUUACAUCCCAGGUGAGUGCCCUAAUCACUGGGCUAUUAACUAUUGUGGGGUGGGGUGCGGCUCUCUUCUGUUUUUUUGUGAAACAUUUUGAAAGAUUCCCAAUGUGGCAAGGGAAAGUUUUUCAAUAGAGUACAGCCUCUGUUUUACAAACUAAUUGGGGACUGAGGA